rnacentral:rRNA from 1 species
CCUUCGGGCGCCGACGAGUGGCGGACGGGUGAGUAACGCGUAGGAACCUGCCCCGUAGUGGGGGACAACUUAGGGAAACUUAAGCUAAUACCGCAUACGCCCCAAGGGGGAAAGCGGGGGACCUUCGGGCCUCGCGCUAUGGGAUGGGCCUGCGUGGGAUUAGCUGGUUGGCGGGGUAAAGGCCCACCAAGGCGACGAUCCCUAGCUGGUCUGAGAGGACGACCAGCCACACUGGGACUGAGACACGGCCCAGACUCCUACGGGAGGCAGCAGUGGGGAAUAUUGGACAAUGGGCGCAAGCCUGAUCCAGCAAUACCGCGUGUGUGAAGAAGGCCCGAGGGUUGUAAAGCACUUUCAAUGGGGAGGAAAAAGGCAGGCCCAAUACGCCAGCCCUUGACAUUACCCAUAGAAGAAGCACCGGCUAACUCCGUGCCAGCAGCCGCGGUAAUACGGAGGGUGCGAGCGUUAAUCGGAAUUACUGGGCGUAAAGCGUGCGUAGGCGGCCUGUCAAGUCAGGUGUGAAAGCCCCGGGCUCAACCUGGGAACGGCACUUGAAACUGGCAGGCUAGAGUUGGGUAGAGGGGGGCGGAAUUCCGGGUGUAGCGGUGAAAUGCGUAGAUAUCCGGAGGAACACCAGUGGCGAAGGCGGCUCCCUGGACCCAAACUGACGCUGAGGCACGAAAGCGUGGGUAGCAAACAGGAUUAGAUACCCUGGUAGUCCACGCCGUNNNCGAUGUCGACUAGCCGUUGGGCCCUUUUAGGGCUUAGUGGCGCAGCUAACGCAUUAAGUCGACCGCCUGGGGAGUACGGCCGCA